rnacentral:rRNA from 1 species
GCGCGUAAAUUGCCCGAAUCCUGACACAGGGAGGUAGUGACAAGAAAUAACAAUACAGGGCUCUCUGAGUCUUGUAAUUGGAAUGAGUACAAUUUACAUCUCUUCACGAGGAUCAAUUGGAGGGCAAGUCUGGUGCCAGCAGCCGCGGUAACUCCAGCUCCAAUAGCGUAUAUUAAAGUUGUUGCAGUUAAAACGCUCGUAGUCGGAUUUCGGGGCGGGGCCGCCGGUCUGCCGAUAGGUAUGCACUGGCGGGCGCGUCCUUUUUCCCGGAGACGGCUGCUACUCUUAACUGAGCGGUGGUCGGAGACGGGAUGUUUACUUUGAAAAAAUCAGAGUGUUUCAAGCAGGCAGUCGCUCUUGCAUGGAUUAGCAUGGGAUAAUGAAAUAGGACUCUGGUGCUAUUUUGUUGGUUUCGAGCACCGGAGUAAUGAUUAACAGGGACAGUCAGGGGCACUCGUAUUCC